rnacentral:rRNA from 1 species
GAUGAACGCUGGCGGCGUGCCUAAUACAUGCAAGUCGAGCGAACAGACGAGGAGCUUGCUCCUCUGACGUUAGCGGCGGACGGGUGAGUAACACGUGGAUAACCUACCUAUAAGACUGGGAUAACUUCGUGAAACCGGUGCUAAUACCGGAUAAUAUAUUGAACCGCAUGGUUCAAUAGUGAAAGACGGUUUUGCUGUCACUUAUAGAUGGAUCCGCGCCGCAUUAGCUAGUUGGUAAGGUAACGGCUUACCAAGGCAACGAUGCGUAGCCGACCUGAGAGGGUGAUCGGCCACACUGGAGCUGAGACACGGUCCAGACUCCUACGGGAGGCAGAAGUAGGGAAUCUUCCGAAAUGGGCGGAAGCCUGACGGAGCAACGCCGCGUGAGUGAUGAAGGUCUUCGGAUCGUAAAACUCUGUUAUUAGGGAAGAACAAAUGUGUAAGUAACUAUGCACGUCUUGACGGUACCUAAUCAGGAAGCCCCGGCUAACUACGUG